rnacentral:tRNA from 1 species
AAUCUCGUAGCUCAGCGGAGAGAGCGCAUUUCUCGCGAGAAAUGAGACGAGGGUUCAAAUCCCUCCGAGAUCA